rnacentral:rRNA from 1 species
GCUGGAUUCGCUAGUAAUCGCGCAUCAGCCAUGGCGCGGUGAAUACGUUCCCGGGCCUUGUACACACCGCCCGUCAAGCCAUGGGAGCCGGGGGUACCUGAAGCCGGCAAGCAAAUAUGCUGUCUAAGGCAAAACCAAUGACUGGGGUGAAGUCGUAACAAGGUACC